AGUGAACGCUGGCGGUAGGCCUAACACAUGCAAGUCGAACGGCAGCACAGUAAGAGCUUGCUCUUACGGGUGGCGAGUGGCGGACGGGUGAGGAAUACAUCGGAAUCUACUUUUUCGUGGGGGAUAACGGAGGGAAACUUACGCUAAUACCGCAUACGACCUACGGGUGAAAGCAGGGGAUCUUCGGACCUUGCGCGAUUGAAUGAGCCGAUGUCGGAUUAGCUAGUUGGCGGGGUAAAGGCCCACCAAGGCGACGAUCCGUAGCUGGUCUGAGAGGAUGAUCAGCCACACUGGAACUGAGACACGGUCCAGACUCCUACGGGAGGCAGCAGUGGGGAAUAUUGGACAAUGGGCGAAAGCCUGAUCCAGCCAUACCGCGUGGGUGAAGAAGGCCUUCGGGUUGUAAAGCCCUUUUGUUGGGAAAGAAAAGCAGCAGGUUAAUACCCCGCUGUUCUGACGGUACCCAAAGAAUAAGCACCGGCUAACUUCGUG
rnacentral:rRNA from 1 species